rnacentral:rRNA from 1 species
GGUUAAGCGACUAAGCGUACACGGUGGAUGCCCUGGCAGUCAGAGGCGAUGAAGGACGUGCUAAUCUGCGAAAAGCGUCGGUAAGGUGAUAUGAACCGUUAUAGCCGGCGAUGUCCGAAUGGGGAAACCCAGUGCAAUUCGUUGCACUAUCGUUAACUGAAUACAUAGGUUAACGAGGCGAACCGGGGGAACUGAAACAUCUAAGUACCCCGAGGAAAAGAAAUCAACCGAGAUUCCCCCAGUAGCGGCGAGCGAACGGGGAGCAGCCCAGAGUCUGAAUCAGCUUGUGUGUUAGUGGAACGGUCUGGAAAGUCCGACGGUACAGGGUGAUAGUCCCGUACACCAAAAUGCACAGGCUGUGAACUCGAAGAGUAGGGCGGGACACGUGGUAUCCUGUCUGAAUAUGGGGGGACCAUCCUCCAAGGCUAAAUACUCCUGACUGACCGAUAGUGAACCAGUACCGUGAGGGAAAGGCGAAAAGAACCCCGGCGAGGGGAGUGAAAAAGAACCUGAAACCGUGUACGUACAAGCAGUGGGAGCACCUUCGGGUGUGACUGCGUACCUUUUGUAUAAUGGGUCAGCGACUUAUAUUCUGUAGCAAGGUUAACCGUAUAGGGGAGCCGCAGGGAAACCGAGUCUUAACUGGGCGUUAAGUUGCAGGGUAUAGACCCGAAACCCGGUGAUCUAGCCAUGGGCAGGUUGAAGGUUGGGUAACACUAACUGGAGGACCGAACCGACUAAUGUUGAAAAAUUAGCGGAUGACUUGUGGCUGGGGGUGAAAGGCCAAUCAAACCGGGAGAUAGCUGGUUCUCCCCGAAAGCUAUUUAGGUAGCGCCUCGUGAACUCAUCUUCGGGGGUAGAGCACUGUUUCGGCUAGGGGGUCAUCCCGACUUACCAACCCGAUGCAAACUACGAAUACCGAAGAAUGUUAUCACGGGAGACACACGGCGGGUGCUAACGUCCGUCGUGAAGAGGGAAACAACCCAGACCGCCAGCUAAGGUCCCAAAGUCAUGGUUAAGUGGGAAACGAUGUGGGAAGGCACAGACAGCCAGGAUGUUGGCUUAGAAGCAGCCAUCAUUUAAAGAAAGCGUAAUAGCUCACUGGUCGAGUCGGCCUGCGCGGAAGAUGUAACGGGGCUAAACCAUGCACCGAAGCUGCGGCAGCGACACUAUGUGUUGUUGGGUAGGGGAGCGUUCUGUAAGCCUGCGAAGGUGUGCUGUGAGGCAUGCUGGAGGUAUCAGAAGUGCGAAUGCUGACAUAAGUAACGAUAAAGCGGGUGAAAAGCCCGCUCGCCGGAAGACCAAGGGUUCCUGUCCAACGUUAAUCGGGGCAGGGUGAGUCGACCCCUAAGGCGAGGCCGAAAGGCGUAGUCGAUGGGAAACAGGUUAAUAUUCCUGUACUUGGUGUUACUGCGAAGGGGGGACGGAGAAGGCUAUGUUAGCCGGGCGACGGUUGUCCCGGUUUAAGCAUGUAGGCUGGUUGUCCAGGCAAAUCCGGAUAAUCAAGGCUGAGGUGUGAUGACGAGGCACUACGGUGCUGAAGUAACAAAUGCCCUGCUUCCAGGAAAAGCCUCUAAGCAUCAGGUAACAUUAAAUCGUACCCCAAACCGACACAGGUGGUCAGGUAGAGAAUACCAAGGCGCUUGAGAGAACUCGGGUGAAGGAACUAGGCAAAAUGGUGCCGUAACUUCGGGAGAAGGCACGCUGGUGUGUAGGUGAAGUCCCUGCGGAUGGAGCUGAGACCAGUCGAAGAUACCAGCUGGCUGCAACUGUUUAUUAAAAACACAGCACUGUGCAAACACGAAAGUGGACGUAUACGGUGUGACGCCUGCCCGGUGCCGGAAGGUUAAUUGAUGGGGUUAUCCGUAAGGAGAAGCUCUUGAUCGAAGCCCCGGUAAACGGCGGCCGUAACUAUAACGGUCCUAAGGUAGCGAAAUUCCUUGUCGGGUAAGUUCCGACCUGCACGAAUGGCGUAAUGAUGGCCAGGCUGUCUCCACCCGAGACUCAGUGAAAUUGAACUCGCUGUGAAGAUGCAGUGUACCCGCGGCAAGACGGAAAGACCCCGUGAACCUUUACUAUAGCUUGACACUGAACAUUGAGCCUUGAUGUGUAGGAUAGGUGGGAGGCUUUGAAGCGUGGACGCCAGUCUGCGUGGAGCCAACCUUGAAAUACCACCCUUUAAUGUUUGAUGUUCUAACGUUGGCCCCUUACCGGGGUUGCGGACAGUGUCUGGUGGGUAGUUUGACUGGGGCGGUCUCCUCCCAAAGCGUAACGGAGGAGCACGAAGGUUAGCUAAUCCUGGUCGGACAUCAGGAGGUUAGUGCAAUGGCAUAAGCUAGCUUGACUGCGAGCGUGACGGCGCGAGCAGGUGCGAAAGCAGGUCAUAGUGAUCCGGUGGUUCUGAAUGGAAGGGCCAUCGCUCAACGGAUAAAAGGUACUCCGGGGAUAACAGGCUGAUACCGCCCAAGAGUUCAUAUCGACGGCGGUGUUUGGCACCUCGAUGUCGGCUCAUCACAUCCUGGGGCUGAAGUAGGUCCCAAGGGUAUGGCUGUUCGCCAUUUAAAGUGGUACGCGAGCUGGGUUUAGAACGUCGUGAGACAGUUCGGUCCCUAUCUGCCGUGGGCGCUGGAGAAUUGAGGGGGGCUGCUCCUAGUACGAGAGGACCGGAGUGGACGCAUCACUGGUGUUCGGGUUGUCAUGCCAAUGGCACUGCCCGGUAGCUAAAUGCGGAAGAGAUAAGUGCUGAAAGCAUCUAAGCACGAAACUUGCCCCGAGAUGAGUUCUCCCUGAGACUUUAAGUCUCCUGAAGGAACGUUGAAGACGACGACGUUGAUAGGCCGGGUGUGUAAGCGCAGCGAUGCGUUGAGCUAACCGGUACUAAUGAACCGUGAGGCUUAACCUU